rnacentral:rRNA from 1 species
GUCUGAAAAUACCCGAUGACUUGACUUGUGUGUCUACUAAGAAUGCAGCCAGCUGUACAAGUUAGCAUGAAUGGCAGGACACACUGAUCACUGACAGUUUGAAUGCACUUGUGAGCCCGGGUUUAUCUUGGGGGCGGGCUAUGCCUGUCUGAGCAUCG